rnacentral:rRNA from 1 species
AGUGAACGCUGGCGGUAGGCCUAACACAUGCAAGUCGAACGGCAGCACAGUUAGAGCUUGCUCUUACGGGUGGCGGGUGGCGGACGGGUGAGGAAUACAUCGGAAUCUACUUUUUCGUGGGGGAUAACGUAGGGGAACCUACGCUCAUACCGCACACGACCUACGGGUGAAAGCAGGGGAGCUUCGUAGCUUGGGCGUGUGAUUGAGCCGAUGUCGUAUUAGCUAGUUGGCGGGGUAAAGGCCCACCAAGGCGACGAUCCGUAGCUGGUCUGAGAGGAUGAUCGGCCACACGGGAACUGAGACGCGGUCCAGACUCCUACGGGAGGCAGCAGAGGGGAAUAUUGGACAAUGGGCGCAAGCCUGAUCCAGCCAUACCGCGUGGGUGAAGAAGGCCUUCGGGUUGUAAAGCCCUUUUGUUGGGAGAGAAAAGCAGCAGGUUAAUACCCCGCUGUUCUGACGGUACCCAAAGAAUAAGCACCGGCUAACUUCGUG